rnacentral:misc_RNA from 1 species
UGUGGGAGCGAGCCUGCUCGCGAUGGCGGAGUGUCAGGUGAUUUCUCUUACACAGUCACACUGCAAUCGCGAGCAGGCUCGCUCCCACA